AUAGGUAUGACUACUAUAAGGGAAGCCGCAAGAAGGGCCGAACAAGGGGUUGCUAGUAAGGAAGCUCAUGAAAAUUAAGCUCCUCCGCAAGACAAUCCAGUGCCUCCACUUGAGAAAAUUCCUAUAGGUGCUCGAGUUCUGGUUGUUCCUCCACCUGUGAGGGAUGAAGAGAUAAGGUUCCGUCAUUGAAGGGUUCGUGGCCAAUUUGCAACGUAGACAUUGAUCAUUUCUCCAAAUGUCGGAAUGUCCUCAAGAUGCGAGAUGAUGCCUUUUCUAAUUCUACUUAUGUUACGUGUUAUUGUCCAAGGUCAUUCAUUUCACUUUUAUUGUUCAAGACAUUGUUGUAAGCCCUAAGUGGAAACCAUAUAUUUGUGUAAGGGUUAUGCCCGAAUUGUUAUAAUCCAUUUAGAUGGUUUUAAAUUAGAUAUUCCUAUAAAGACUAUAUUGUGUAUAUUGUAUAUGUAGCAUUAAAGUAGAAGCCUAUGUAAGGUUCUUAUUUCAGGA